rnacentral:rRNA from 1 species
GAUGAACGCUGGCGGCGUGCCUAAUACAUGCAAGUCGAGCGAACAGACGAGGAGCUUGCUCCUCUGACGUUAGCGGCGGACGGGUGAGUAACACGUGGAUAACCUACCUAUAAGACUGGGAUAACUUCGGGAAACCGGAGCUAAUACCGGAUAAUAUAUUGAACCGCAUGGUUCAAUAGUGAAAGACGGUUUUGCUGUCACUUAUAGAUGGAUCCGCGCCGCAUUAGCUAGUUGGUAAGGUAACGGCUUACCAAGGCAACGAUGCGUAGCCGACCGGAGAGGGUGAUCGGCCACACUGGAACUGAGACACGGUCCAGACUCCUAGGGGAGGCAGCAGUAGGGAAUCUUCCGCGAUGGGCGAAAGCCUGACGGAGCAACGCCGCGUGAGUGAUGAAGGUCUUCGGAUCGUAAAACUCUGUUAUUAGGGAAGAACAAAUGUGUAAGUAACUAUGCACGUCUUGACGGUACCUAAUCAGAAAGCCACGGCUAACUACGUG